rnacentral:rRNA from 1 species
UACGUAGGGUGCGAGCGUUGUCCGGAAUUAUUGGGCGUAAAGAGCUCGUAGGCGGUGUGUCACGUCGUCCGUGAAAACCUGCAGCUUAACUGUGGGCGUGCGGUCGAUACGGGCAUCACUGGAGUUCGGCAGGAGAGACUGGAAUUCCUGGUGUAGCGGUGAAAUGCGCAGAUAUCAGGAGGAACACCGGUGGCGAAGGCGGGUCUCUGGGCCGAUACUGACGCUGAGGAGCGAAAGCGUGGGGAGCAAACAGG